rnacentral:rRNA from 1 species
UACGUAGGGGGCAAGCGUUAUCCGGAAUUAUUGGGCGUAAAGAGUACGUAGGCGGUCUUUUAAGCGCAGGGUAUAAGGCUACGGCUUAACCGUAGUUCGCCCUGUGAACUGGAGGACUUGAGUAUCGGAGAGGAAAGCGGAAUUCCUAGUGUAGCGGUGAAAUGCGUAGAUAUUAGGAGGAACACCAGUGGCGAAGGCGGCUUUCUGGACGAACACUGACGCUGAGGUACGAAAGCGUGGGGAGCAAACAGG